UAUAAGUUCUGGAUGACAAAGGAAAGAGAAGAGGGGCAAAUCACCCACUGAAGAGGAAGAAAAUAGCCACACAUUUUGAUGCCUGGAGGAUGAAACCUCCUAUGUUAUUUCCUUCCGUCUUUCUCUCUAUGUCCAUUUUGAUUAAUGGACAUCAUUAGAAAUAGACACAGGCUAUCAGAACUUGAAUGAAUCAGGCAGCUGCAGUUACCCACGAUGCUCUGCAUAGUCGGAGCAGUAUAGAGUGGUGCAGCUUUAAUGACAAAUCGAAAUGACAGAAUAUGUUUGGAAAAAAAAUCCAUGGCAACCAUGGCUGCAAAGGACGGCAAUCGAUAUCGUUUUGGUUAUGCAGCAGCUACAAGUUUGAACUGAAGAGGACAGAGAGCCAAAUAGAAAGGAGGAUGGAUAUGAUGUCCACCUGACUCCUUCUCUCCUGCUUGCUGUGUUGCAGUAAUGGCCCGGCUGUGGACAGCAAACAUAUCCAUCCAUAUG
ensembl:lncRNA